GACGUAGGGCGCGAGCGUUGUCCGGAUUUAUUGGGCGUAAAGAGCUCGUAGGCGGCUUGUCGCGUCGAAUGUGAAAUCUCAGGGCUCAACUCUGACAUUGCAUUCGAUACGGGCAGGCUAGAGUUCGGUAGGGGAGACUGGAAUUCCUGGUGUAGCGGUGAAAUGCGCAGAUAUCAGGAGGAACACCGGUGGCGAAGGCGGGUCUCUGGGACGGUACUGACGCUGAGACGCGAAAGCGUGGGGAGCGAACAGG
rnacentral:rRNA from 1 species